UGGAUCACUUCCCAGCAGCAUGAAACCAAUGCCAGCUGACACACGUGCACGUGGCUUGGCAAAUACUGAUAAAAAAUUCAGUGUUGGGCCUUGGUAUUCAAGUCACAAUUAAAAACCUCUCUGUGCAUAUGGAGAGAGACUGUCCUUGAGGAAGAAGAGGUGCAUGAAUAGAGUUGGUGCAUGCUUUAAAAAGAGCACUAGGUUGUUAAGUGAAAAACAGGAUUACUUGUGAGAAAAAUCAGAAUCCUGGAGCAGCUGUAGCUAGAAAUGGGAUUAAACAAAAUGCCUUAAUGCUGAAACAUGAAAUCAGAAGCUGAGGAUAAAUGCAGACAGUUGAUGAGAAGAGCCUAUGGCCAUGUGGACUCUUUGCAGACUGUCCUGUGUGGGAAAAUGGGCAGCUGAACACCAGUAUAGCCAGCUCAUAUUUUUGAGUUGACUAAGAGACUUAUUAGUG
rnacentral:lncRNA from 1 species